rnacentral:lncRNA from 1 species
AGUGAGAGGCCAACAGACAAGCCAGUUGGCCUUGAGCUCCGGCUCACUAAUAAUAGCAUCAUCCAGGCCGGCUCAGAGCUGCGGGGACUGCAGGAUGACAUCACCCAGAUGGAAGCAGAAGGGAUGGGCAAACCGCAAGGUCCCAAGGGCUGAUGAACACUGGAAGCUGCUUGAGAAAACCCAGAAAAUCAUUUUGUACAUGUUUGAAAAUGAAAGAGGAAGAAGGAUAAAAAAGAAGAAAAAAAAUGAAGAAGGGGGAAGAUAAGGAGAAAGAGAAGAAAAGGAAGAGAUAAUAUAUGGUCUGCAAAGCGUAACAUGCUUUUAUAAAUAUCUGCCUAUCCCUGCUGUAGAAGACUGGCAAGGGAAAUUCAACAUACAUAUAAUGGACUUCCUCAGUGAAGAAAAUGAAAGCAAUGGAAAAAGCAAACGUUUAAAACUGUAGUUCAAGAAUAUUUUCAAGAAACAAAAGACUGGUAAAUGCAAGUUGAUACCUAGUUAAAGGGUACAUUGUGUACUUACAGAAUUUGAUGUGGUAUGAUCCACAUGGAGAGAAAGCCAUUUUGAAAUGAAAAUGUGUGUAUGUAAAGGGAGCUGUUGUCCUGUUUUUAUUGGUAACAGCACCUUCUUUUACAUUCUCAAGUGCCCUGCUUUGAACAACAAAUUAUAAGGUUAUCCUCUGGGAAAGAGAGUAGCAUUAGCCUUUUGAUACCAACAUUGCAUAGCAGAAGUCACAUAGAGUUAUGUUAACUAUGUUAAAGGAAAGAAAGCAUAAGCAUUGAAUUUAACAUAUUGCAAAAAGUCCUUAAUUCUUAGAGUUUGCAAAAAAAUGGGUUCAAAACUUAAAGGAGCAUAGACAUAGAGACUGUUUUUCCCAUGAGCCCUUCCUAUAAAACUUAUUAGAGAACAAGAAUGAAAAAAUAAUGAAAGAAAACUUGCCAUAAUAUCUAGGGUGAUAACUGAGUAUAUUUAAUUGUAUAAUUAAGACUAAUAUUUCAAGAAAUGGGUUAUAAAAUAUUAGGUAAUAUUAGAUUGACAGUGCAACAAAAUACAAUUAACAAAAAGGAAAGAGAAAUAGAGUAGGCUGAAGGAUGAAUAAGCUCACAGAUUAACUCAACAGUGUUAGCUAAACUUAAAAGUGGGAAGAAGGUUGAAUAAAAAUAAGUUUACUAAGUAUAUUAUUGCUCACAGUAGUAAAACAAUAGGGGAUGACAAAAGAAAAGCACUAUGAAUAUUGUAACUACAUUGAUCUAGAGUUAUAAACUGCCUUAGCAUGGAUUGCCUCUAAAACAGACCACUGUGAGACAAGACUGGAGAGAGGGUAGUUUUUGGGAAGGUGACCAAAGAAGAUCUGGUAUGGGAAUGAGAAAGUAAUGUAACAAAGGGAAAGACACAAAUAUAAGGUGUGUUCAUUAGUAUACUAAUCCCUUAGGCAAUUUUGGCUUAAUUCCAAUUGACAUCUUUGGUAGAUUAUGCAAAACAUACCUGAGAAUUAACCUACAAAAAUGGUAAGGGAGCUGGAGUAUUUAUCCAUCUAUGUCCAUUUCUUCUUUGUUGAGAGCUGCCCUUGAGAGCAUUACUGCAACCGUACUUCUAAUAUUUUCUGUGCAUGUUCCUGUAGCUAGAGAAAACCUCUAUUAAGAGAGUCACAGAAGCCUGCAAGAAGUAGCCAUCUAAUUAUAUGGAAACUGGCAAAAUCUGCUACACAAUCCUUCCUAAUUAUAAAAAAAGUACCCAAAAUGGGGAAGAAAGGAGAAAAACGUCACAUGUGAAAGAUUUUAUACAUAGGGUACAUAUAACUAGAUAAUUCUACUUCAGAGGAUAUAUUUCUGCCUCUGGAGACACGGAGUAAACAUAUGCUUCCCUAUUUUACCUACUAAGUAGAGCUGGGCACUAUACAUAAACAUCAAUCAUUGGAAGACCCCGGAGAGUGGACAGAAGACAGAUGAGCCAGGGACUUCCCAAGGGACAACAGAGCAGAGAGUUUCCUUACCUCACAUAUUCCAGAUUGGGUGCUAGGAAAACUGGAAAAUGAAACUUUCAGUAGAGGCAGACAAAAGAACCCCAAGAAUAACCAGGCUGCUUUCUUUGCCAAAGGAUAAAAAAGAGUCAUUCUAAAAAGGCAGAAAACUUAGACAAGAACUGCUCCAUUCCAACCAAAUACCACAAGAAACUGCAGCCCCACCUACAUCCUAACCAGAAAAGAAGUUAGAGUAGGGAGGCAAAUGCAAUGAAGUAUCCUGUCCCCUGCUGGGACAGAGUCAAAGAAAGCAGAGUGGAAGCCAAAAAUUUCUGCCCAGCAGUCACACCAAGUCAGUGAUGAUCCCACUAUGUGACUGAACUUUCAUACUCUGGGUUGUAAGAGGAUGCCCCUCUCCUUCCAUGAAGAGGUGGUAUAAGAGGAGGCUUAGUGGAGAUGAAGACUUUGUCACCAUACAUAGUGCCUGCAGAGGCUACAUGAACAGUAGUAAGGUCAUCCUUGUCCCUUCAAGUCAAGGUAGUAUCAACACAGACCUAGUGGAAAGCCAGAGCUC